rnacentral:rRNA from 1 species
GAUGAACGCUAGCGGAGGCUUACACAUGCAAGUCGAGGGGCAGCAUAGGGUAGCAAUACUCUGAUGGCGACCGGCAAACGGGUGAGUAACGCGUAUGCAACCUACCCUGUACAGGGGGAUAACCCGGAGAAAUUCGGACUAAUAUCCCGUAAUAAUAUCCGGAGGCAUCUUUGGAUAUUUAAAGUUCCGACGGUACGGGAUGGGCAUGCGUAACAUUAACUGGUUGGUAAGGUAACGGCUUACCAAGGCUAUGAUGUUUAGGGGUCCUGAGAGGGUGGUCCCCCACACUGGUACUGAGACACGGACCAGACUCCUACGGGAGGCAGCAGUGAGGAAUAUUGGUCAAUGGGCGCAAGCCUGAACCAGCCAUCCCGCGUGCAGGAAGACGGCCCUAUGGGUUGUAAACUGCUUUUCCAGGGAGAGAAACUUACGCACGUGUUGCGUGACUGACGGUACCCUGGGAAUAAGCAUCGGCUAACUCCGUG